rnacentral:rRNA from 1 species
ACAGCAGUAGCCGCGGUAAUACGUAGGUGGCAAGCGUUGUCCGGAAUUAUUGGGCGUAAAGGGCUCGCAGGCGGUUUCUUAAGUCUGAUGUGAAAACCCCCGGCUCAACCGGGGAGGGUCAUUGGAAACUGGGAAACUUGAGUGCAGAAGAGGAGAGUGGAAUUCCACGUGUAGCGGUGAAAUGCGUAGAGAUGUGGAGGAACACCAGUGGCGAAGGCGACUCUCUGGUCUGUAACUGACGCUGAGGAGCGAAAGCGUGGGGAGCGAACAGGAUUAGAUACCCGUGUAGUCCCUGUCUCUUAUAC